CAAGUUACUAAGCUUCUCUGGACCUCAAAUUACUCCUAUGUAAAACGGGGAUAUUACUUACCUCUUAGGACUGAUGUGAACAUUAAAUAUAGAGAAAGCUCUUAGAAAAAUGUCUGGCAAAGAUAAGCCCCCAGUAAAUGUUAACUAUUAUCCCUAACAUUAUGAGUGAUCACCCCUCCAGUAUCUACUUCCCCCAUUCUACAGUGAUUUCUUCUCACUACUGUGUUUACCCCAAAAAGUUUCCUCUAGGUCUUAGGAUUCACCCCUUCCCAUCACCAUUUUGAUCCUUUCCCAGCUCUCUUCAUGCCAGUUAGUUUUACUCAGGCAAAAGCUGAACUGUUCUUAAACUGUCUUUCUUAAUUCUGAAAGACCCUUAUCUCUGCUUAAUCACCCCAAAAUGUGUAUGUGUGUGUGGGGGGGUGAGUGGUAGAGAUUGCCAGCCACUGGCCUUACUAGAAAUGAUUAAGAUGGGGAGAGUGACAGUAAAGCUUCUAGUUGGUCUACUUAAGGGAAAAAGUCUCUAAAAUGUAGAUCUCUUUAAAACUAUUUUCCGACGGAGCUUGUUCUUGGAGAACAAACCAUCCUGUGAGCAGGAGGUUGUGAGGAACUCUGUCUAACAUCUGAUGUGACGAGCUCAGCCAGGACCAAAGGUGGAGCCUAACUAGAUUUGCAUCCCGAAGGCAUGGGCCAGUGGGCCAUGGUGACUUGAG
ensembl:lncRNA